UACGAAGGGGGCUAGCGUUGUUCGGAAUUACUGGGCGUAAAGCGCACGUAGGCGGAUCGAUCAGUCAGGGGUGAAAUCCCAGGGCUCAACCCUGGAACUGCCUUUGAUACUGUCGAUCUGGAGUAUGGAAGAGGUGAGUGGAAUUCCGAGUGUAGAGGUGAAAUUCGUAGAUAUUCGGAGGAACACCAGUGGCGAAGGCGGCUCACUGGUCCAUUACUGACGCUGAGGUGCGAAAGUGUGGGGAGCGAACAGG
rnacentral:rRNA from 1 species